GACGAACGCUGGCGGUGUGCUUAACACAUGCAAGUCGAACGGUAAGGCCCUUUCGGGGGUACACGAGUGGCGAACGGGUGAGUAACACGUGAGUAACCUGCCCUCAUCUCUGGGAUAACAGUCGGAAACGGUUGCUAAUACUGGAUAUGAGCUUGCAAGGCAUCUUGUGGGUUGGAAAGAUAUUUUUUGGUUGGGGAUGGACUCGCGGCCUAUCAGCUUGUUGGUGAGGUAGUGGCUCACCAAGGCUUCGACGGGUAGCCGGCCUGAGAGGGCGACCGGCCACAUUGGGACUGAGAUACGGCCCAAACUCCUACGGGAGGCAGCAGUGGGGAAUAUUGCACAAUGGACGGAAGUCUGAUGCAGCAACGCCGCGUGCGGGAUGACGGCCUUCGGGUUGUAAACCGCUUUCAAUUGUGACGAAGCUUUUUUGUGACGUAG
rnacentral:rRNA from 2 species